rnacentral:rRNA from 1 species
UAUCUUCUUAAAGAGCGUUAAAGCUUUUACCCCUGUAAGUUUUGUAGAAAAUUUUAGAUGAAGGUCUUAGAUUGUAGAGGAUAGUAUUAGGAAUUUUCAUUUGUUUGGAAGUCACAAUGCUAGGAUUAGUAGGGAUAAUUGUAUAUUUUUUGGGUAUUAAGCAAUUCUAACUUUGGAUGAAGGAAAGUACUUGGUUCAGGAAAUGGCUUUUAAAAGUUGUCUUCCAACUCAGGGAAUAUAAGUAUUUAUGAAAUUAGGGGAAAGGAACUCGGCAAACUUUAACUUNNNNNNNNNNNNNNNNNNNNCGCUCUUCGCAAAGAGUUCUUAUGUAUGAAGAGUCCUGCCUGCCCGGUGACUUCAAGUUAAACGGCCGCGGUAUCUUGACCGUGCAAAGGUAGCAUAAUCAUUUGCCUCUUAAAUAGAGGCUGGUAUGAAUGGCAAGACGGGGGUUCAGCUGUCUCUCUUCUAAUAAAGUUGAAUUUAAUUUCUUUGUGAAGAAGCAAAGAUAGAAUCGCAGGACGAGAAGACCCUGUCGAGCUUAAAUAAUUAAGACGAGUGUUGAUAGUAUUCUUUUACUAAUUUGUUUCCUUGAAAAGGGAAAGAGAUUUUUAUUUAAGGUGCGAGUAUGCUGUGUUGGUUUUGUUUUGAUUGGGGCAAUCGCGGAGAAAAUACAACCUCCGUUAUAAAUGUUAAUGUUGUAAAGUAAUCCCUUUGUAGUAUAAAAAUAUGUAUUUUUGAUCCACGGAAAGUGAACAAAGGAAUAAGUUACCGCAGGGAUAACAGCGUAAUUUUUUUGGAGAGUUCAUAUUGAUAAAAAAGUUUGCGACCUCGAUGUUGGAUCGGGAUUUCCAGGAGAUGCAGCAGUUUCCAAGGGUUGGUCUGUUCGACCAUUAAAAUCCU